CGGAACUCCUGGAGCACACAACUGCGCUCUCUGCUUUGUGACGCGUGGGGAAAUUCACGCGCGAGUGUGCGGUAGAGCAGGUCCGGCUGUGGAUCUUGCCCAGCGCUGGGCUCAGGGCCUGGCAUGACCAGGGCUGGAAAAGCAGAAUAACUCGCACACGGAGGAAAGCCGCGCUUAUUCUUUCUGGAUCUCCACUCCUGGCGGGAAAGAGAUUGCCAGCCACAGAGGGACCGGCCUGCAGCCCUGAAGGACAUCCCUUUUUCUUUAAGAAUGCUGAAGAAGAAGUUAUUUUCAGGACUUCAGGUGAGCUUUCUUGUGACCCUUAGAAGGAGGAGCAGGGUUUUGAAUAUGUAGGAUAACAGCUAG
rnacentral:lncRNA from 1 species